rnacentral:rRNA from 1 species
CAGCCGCGGUAAUACGUAGGGCCCGAGCAUUAUCCGGAAUUAUUGGGCGUAAAGAGCGUGUAGGUGGCCUUACAAGUCGGUCGUUAAAUCUCAGAGCUCAACUCUGAGACCGCGAGCGAUACUGUAGGGCUUCGAGGUUUGCAGGGGCUAGCAGAAUUUCCAGAGUAGGGGUGAAAUCCGUUGAUACUGGAAGGAAUACCAAUGGCGAAGGCAGCUAGCUGGGCAACACCUGACACUGAGACGCGAAAGCGUGGGGAGCGAACGGGAUUAGAUACCCCGGUAGUCCACGCCGUAAACUCUGUCAACUAGCAAUUAGAAGAGUCGACCCUUGUAGUUGCGAAGCUAACGCGUCAAGUUGACCGCCUGGGAAGUACGAUCGCAAGAUUAAAACUCAAAGGAAUUGGCGGGGGCUCGCACAAGUGGUGGAGCAUGUGGUUUAAUUCGACAAUAACCGAGGAACCUUAUCCAGGGCUUGACAUCUUGGGAAUCCCGCAGAAACGUGGGAGUGCCGCAAGGAGCCCAAAGACAGGUACUGCACGGUCGUCGUCAGUUCGUGGCGUGAGCUGUGAGGUUAAGUCCUUGAACGAACGAAACCCUCGUCCUAUGUUGGAUAUUCAUAGGAGACAGCCCUGGUAACAGGGAGGAAGGCGGGGAUGACGUCAGAUCCGCGUGGUCUUUAUGCCCUGGGCAACACACGUGCUACAAUCCAGCGUACAAAGGGUUGCCAAACCGUAAGGUGGAGCUAAUCCCAGAAAGCGUUGGUUAGUUCGGAUUGGGGGCUGCAACUCGCCCCCAUGAAGCCGGAAUCACUAGUAAUCGUGGAUCAGCAUGCCACGGUGAAUACGUUCUCGAGCCUUGC